rnacentral:rRNA from 1 species
GCUCCAUGAUUCNGCGGCGGACGGGUGAGUAAUGCCUAGGAAUCUGCCUGGUAGUGGGGGACAACGUUUCGAAAGGAACGCUAAUACCGCAUACGUCCUACGGGAGAAAGUGGGGGAUCUUCGGACCUCACGCUAUCAGAUGAGCCUAGGUCGGAUUAGCUAGUUGGUGAGGUAAAGGCUCACCAAGGCGACGAUCCGUAACUGGUCUGAGAGGAUGAUCAGUCACACUGGAACUGAGACACGGUCCAGACUCCUACGGGAGGCAGCAGUGGGGAAUAUUGGACAAUGGGCGAAAGCCUGAUCCAGCCAUGCCGCGUGUGUGAAGAAGGUCUUCGGAUUGUAAAGCACUUUAAGUUGGGAGGAAGGGCAGUAAGUUAAUACCUUGCUGUUUUGACGUUACCAACAGAAUAAGCACCGGCUAACUUCGUGCCAGCAGCCGCGGUAAUACNAAGGGUGCAAGCGUUAAUCGGAAUUACUGG